GAUGAACGCUGGCGGCGUGCCUAAUACAUGCAAGUAGAACGCUGAAGGAGGAGCUUGCUCUUCUGGAUGAGUUGCGAACGGGUGAGUAACGCGUAGGUAACCUGCCUGGUAGCGGGGGAUAACUAUUGGAAACGAUAGCUAAUACCGCAUGACAACAGUUAUUGCAUGAUAACUGUUUAAAAGGGGCAACUGCUCCACUACCAGAUGGACCUGCGUUGUAUUAGCUAGUUGGUGAGGUAACGGCUCACCAAGGCGACGAUACAUAGCCGACCUGAGAGGGGGGUCGGCCACACGGGGACUGAGACACGGCCCAGACUCCUACGGGAGGCAGCAGUAGGGAAUCUUCGGCAAUGGACGGAAGUCUGAACGAGCAACGCCGCGUGAGUGAAGAAGGUUUUCGGAUCGUAAAGCUCUGUUGUAAGAGAAGAACGAGUGUGAGAGUGGAAAGUUCACACUGUGACGGUAUCUUACCAGAAAGGGACGGCUAACUACGUG
rnacentral:rRNA from 1 species